ACGGGGUGCAGCAGGCGCGAAAACUUUGCAAUACACGAAAGUGUGACAGGGCUAUCCCGAGUGCCAUCCGCUGAGGAAGGCUUUUACCCAGUGUAGAUAGCUGGGGGAAUAAGGAGAGGGCAAGACUGGUGUCAGCCGCCGCGGUAAUACCAGCUCUCCGAGUGGUGUGGAUGUUUAUUGGGCCUAAAGCAUCCGUAGCUGGCUGGACAAGUCCCCUGUUAAAUUCAGCGACCUAAUCGUUGAGCCGCGGGAGAUACUACUAGGCUAGGAGGCGGGAGAGGUCGACGGUACUUCUGGAGUAGGGGUGAAAUCCUAUAAUCCCGGGAGGACCACCAGUGGCGAAGGCUGUCGACUAGAACGCGCUCGACGGUGAGGGACGAAAGCUGGGGGAGCGAACCGGAUUAGAUACCCGGGUAGUCCCAGCUGUAAACGAUGCAGGCUAGGUGUUUGGACGGCCACGUGCCGUUCUAGUGCCGCAGGGAAGUCGUUAAGCCUGCCGCCUGGGGAGUACGAUCGCAAGAUUGAAACUUAAAGGAAUUGGCGGGGGAGCAC
rnacentral:rRNA from 1 species